rnacentral:lncRNA from 1 species
AUGAACAUUAGCGCUGGCAUUUAUUUGAAGCAGUGGGAUUUUGGGAGGGAGGGAGCAGUGGGAAGGAAUGUUCUGGGAAAAAUAGUAAAAUUCCUCUCUUAUAGUUCCCUAUGUCCAUUUCUCUCCUUUUUUUGUCCUUUUUACCUUUGCAGCCUGCUACACACACAACCCAUGGAAUAUCAGGUAUUGAGCAAUGGGUAUUCCUGGUGGCAGUGGGCCAGAUGUAGCUCAUCAUCGGUUGGAAUCAAUUCCAGAAGAGGUGUUAGAGUCUGUUGGUCCAAGAGAAAGUCUGAUCCAGACACCAAAAAGAGCCAUGAGGAAAAUGGAUACUAUCUCCACUGAUCUCCCAACAAUUUAGCAAACUGGAGGUAUGGAUCUUCAACCUGGAGGGGAUUGCCUGUGGACUGGAUGCAAGCGUGUGUUUUAUUUCCUUCUCCACCAGAUGAGAGGGUAUAAAAGCAGUCACCUGUCAACCACUCCAGCAAUGAAAUUCAGCAGUCUAUUGUCCCAAUCACUGCUCUCAAUCACUCUAAACGGUCUCCAGAGACAAUCAUUAUUAUAGGACAUGUUCCUAAGAGUAGAUAAAUGGAACUCCACCUGCCAGCCUGCAUAGGGAACGAUGGACACUCUUGGCCAAAAAUAUGAAAGGGCCUGGAGCUUUAUUGACAUUUACAUCAAGAAUAGUUAGCAAUGAAAGCAGCUGUUGUGCCGUGCUUUCACCACGACGUGUUUGGAAUAUGCUGUGAAUUGAAAUACAGACCUCCUGACAAGCAAUUUACCUUCUGUCAGUCUCCAUGUGCUUGCAGCAUUACUGGGUACUCGCUGUGAUAGGCCACUUAAAGCUGCACAUGUGUACAGUUUGGAUGAAAGAUUAACUACAAUUUGAGGCAGGAAGUAACGAAUUGUGGAGUGUCAUUCAUAAUGGCCUACAUUGUCAUCUGCAGGGUGACACCAUAGCAAGAAGGUGCCUCUGUUGUGACUGCCUUAUGGAAUCAGAUGUCAUUCACUCUAAUGAAGAUCUGACUACAAUUCUAAUAAGCAGAGAGCAAGACAGCUCAGGACUGGAAGCAUUAAUCUGCCUUGUUUGUUGACAUUACAGUGAUGACUAAAAUGCCAUUAUGCAAGAAAUUCCUUCAGAAGCGAUUCAAUAGGGGCAAUUGCAAUACAAUGUAUAACAGCCUGGAACAAAAGAUGUGCCAGGAGUUAAUUUCUAUAUUUAUUCUUCUUAGUUGAUUCAGUACAUUGAAUUUUCCCCCCUUAAAAAAUUUCUACUUGGUAAAAUAUUAUGAUGUCUCCCGAGUAAAGUAGAGAUUGCUUUGUGUAAGUAAGAUGUAGAAUUCCUGUCACUUCAAUGCAAAAUUCUGUAUUUAUCAAGUUUUGGUGGCAAUUUCAGAAAGCGAUGUAAUGAUUAUUAAGAAUGAUGAUUAAAAUACUUAGCUGCUUUUUCCCUAAAACGUUGCCUUGAACCAUGCUAUCUGCAGUUCUGGAACAAUAUUUAGUAACAUCUAUUUAGUUAUGUAAAGAGAAUAAGUAACUGAUAUAGUUUUUCCUCCCUUGGCUAAGGAGUUGGUCAUUUUCAAUCUCACAAACUUCUCAACAGUGUAAAGUCAAUGGACAACUACCAAAGCUGGUAUUUCUAUAGAAAUGAAGCUCCUCUGAGUCAUCACACAUUUUUUUUUUUUUUGGAAAGAGGACAGAAGGUUUCAUUUUGCUUGGUUAAGUUUGAGAGCUUCUCUCUGGCUUUCUUCUCUUUUACUAAUAUUUGAUUUUUUUGAUUCCUCAGGCUUUUGAGAGAGUGAUCCACAUAGUUUAGUUUUCAAUAGCUCAGGUACAAAAAGGUGUUUAGUACAAUGAUGUCUCAAAUAUCCAAUACAUUUGCUCUUAUAAUCGUGUACCCAGGAUCCCUGCAGUUGGUUGUCAAUACUUGAACCAUCUCAGUAUCUAAUUCAGUCCUUUUCACCCCAUCUCACCACUAGAGUCACAAACCGUGUAUUUAUACUUCUGCUUCAGAUACAAGUGUGGUCUAAAGUCCUUAAUAUGCUUGGGAAUCUAGGUUUUCAACCUCUUCCUGCUAGCCAACCUGCUCUGGGAAUCUGAAACUACCAGCAAGGCAAGUUUUUCUACCUCCUAUGUUGUUUUCACAAAAAAACCUGGUUAUUAUCACUGAUCCCUGAUGGAUGCUGAAAGAAUUAACUAAACCUACUUUGGAAGCAUAUCCUUGUUAAUAACAAUUCCAAACAUGUUCCUAUGGGUAUAAAUUUGUGCCACGCAUUUCAGAGACCAUAAAUUCCCGGAACCAUUUGUUGUGAUUGGCUGUUGGGCGUUUUGGCGGCUAAUGCUGGCUCAGCAUGGGAAAUUUAUGUGGGCUUAGUUCUAACAGGCCUGUGUGUACCAAAGCAGAGGCGGUGCUGUGGGGUGACUUUCGCUUUCAGUGAAACUGCCUGAAUGGAGUCUUUUUGUGUCUUCCAGCCAACAAAUAGCUGAAGGAAAUCACCGGCAGCUGUCUAGUUGCUGGCAAAGGUGGGCUUUAAGGCAGCCAUGCAAAUUAGAAUGUUCCUGGAGCCCCUCCCAAAAACCAAAAGGGCAGCAAACACCAAAGUUUCCAUUUAGCAACUUACUUUUGCAUCUCUAUAAACUCGGGCCUAUUCCUAAUUCCUAUUCCUAUUGCUGUGGUAACAAUUCACUCCAACCUUGGUGGCUUAAAACAACACACAUUAAUUACCUUAUAGUUCUGCAGGUCAGAUGUACAAAGUGGGUCUCAGGGGCCUAAAAUCAAGGUGUCAGCAGAAUCACCUUCCUUCUGGAGGCUCCAGGGCAGAAGCUGUCCCUUGCCUUUUCCAGCUUCUAGAGGCCACCUGCAUUCCUUGGCUUGUGGCCCCUUCCUCCAUCUUCAAAGCCAGCAAUCCAACUGCUCUCCAACUCCCAGCCUCCUGCCUCCCUCUUCCCCUCAUGAAGACGCCUAUAAUUACAUUGGCCCCACCUGGAUAACUCCCCAGCCCCAAAUCCUUAAUCACAUCUGCAAAGUCCCCAUCACUGCCAUGUGAGGCAACAUAGUCACAGGUCAUGGGGAUUAGGACACGGGCGUCUUUGAGGGGCCAUUAUUCUGCCUGUCACACCUACUUUAUAGAAAUCCUUUCUGUGUUCAUUACCUUUUCGUAAGGGAUACAACCUUCAGAGGUAGUCACGGCAGGCAGGCCUAUCACUCCCACAUGGCGAGUGAGGAAACUGAGGCUGGGAAAUGUGUGUGACUCACCCAGCUCUGCACUGUGUCAGGCAAAACCAUAUGCCUGGGGUUCUCACGUUUAUACCUGUGUAAAGAGAACUGGGCUACUGCCAAGCACGCAGAGAGGGCUUGUGCCCCGUGCAUGGUGCUGCAAUCAACCUGAGUUCUUUCCCGUGCCCGACUCUUGAGUCUCUGCAUUCUUUGGGCUAUGAAGCUGGGCUUACCAGAGACCAAAUCUUUCACUUCCUAUCUCAAACCUCCUGUGUGCUCUUCCUCUUAGGCCAUCCUCCUAGAAACACCCAUGCUCUUAAAGAACAUUUCACUCAGUCCGGAUCAGUAAAUAACUGAAAAACAAAUAUUCUUUAUGAGGCACUGCAUUCUGUUGAGCCUGUGGUAGACUGGAGGUAAACAAAGAGCCAUGACAUUACACUUCCCACAGUGCAGGAGUGGGACCUGGGUUUGAAUCCCAACACAUUCUUUGCUAUCCUGGUGACUUUGGCCAGAUUACUUUAUGCUUCUCUGAACCUCAAUGUUCUUAUUUUCAACAAGGAGAUAAACUGGUAUAGUUGUUAAGGAUUGACAGUGAUGACAUAUGAUCAUACCAUGCUGGUGUCAACCUAAAUAACAAACAGAGAGAGGCUCUCUAAAAGAAAUUUAUUUGGGAAUACAGCAUUGCAAUGAGAAUAUGUGUGCCACGGUGAACUAUGUGUGUAUUCAGGGAGAUAAAGUAAAACAAAGGUUUUAUAGGGGGAAAUGAGGAGGAUUAUACAAUUGUUUUGAAAUAAUUACCCCUGGCUACAAAGAUCAGUAACAAGGAUGACACUAGUCCAAGAUUGGACAGGCAGUUGCUAGGCAGAUGUCCUUUCAGACAUAUUUUUUCUGUAAGGUUACUAUGGUCUUUUUGCAGUCUUUUGUGAUGGUUUUUGUUAUCAGGCAUACAAUCAUAAGAACACUCUCUUCAUGGCUUUCCCUGCCUCUAUUUGUCAGGGUUUUCUUAACAUUAGUGACUCCAUUUUGAUUCUGACAACAUUCACAUUGUCAUUUGGAAUGUAUCAUAGAUUUUCAUUCCCUUCCUUUCUCUCUUAUUGCUGUAAAAGAAAGAGAGGACAGUUGAAUCAUGGACCCAGAUUUACACAUUAAUAAAACAAGGGGGAGAAAUUUUUAUUAUGCAAUAUUUAACACUGAGAAUAAAAUUAAAAACUUGAAAUCUCAAGCGGCAUUCAUCUAUUUGCUAUUUCUUGAACAUUUA